rnacentral:tRNA from 1 species
GGAGACGUGGCCGAGUGGUCGAAGGCGCUCGCCUGCUAAGUGAGUAUAGGGGGAACCCUAUCGAGGGUUCGAAUCCCUUCGUCUCCGCCA